CUGGGUGACAGGCAAGACUCCAUCUCAAAAAACAAACAAAAAAGUCACAUGCCCUCACCUCAUCUGCAGACCUGAGCUAUACCACUCACUAGAUUAUUGCCUCUUCACAAGGCGGCGUUACGAUUUCCAGAAUCCAUCACGCAUGGACCGCAAUGUGGAAAUGUUUAUGACCAUUGAGAAGUCCUUGGUGCAGAAUAAUUGCCUGUCUCGACCUAACAUUUUUCUGUGCCCAGAAAUUGAGCCCAAACUACUAGGGAAAUUAAAGGACAUUAUCAAGAGACACCAGGGAACAGUCACUGAGGAUAAGAACAAUGCCUCCCAUGUUGUGUAUCCUGUCCCGGGGAAUCUAGAAGAAGAGGAAUGGGUACGACCAGUCAUGAAGAGGGAUAAGCAGGUUCUUCUGCACUG
rnacentral:sRNA from 1 species